ACGAACGCUGGCGGCGUGCCUAAUACAUGCAAGUAGAACGCUGAAGGAGGAGCUUGCUUCUCUGGAUGAGUUGCGAACGGGUGAGUAACGCGUAGGUAACCUGCCUGGUAGCGGGGGAUAACUAUUGGAAACGAUAGCUAAUACCGCAUAAUAGUAGAUGUUGCAUGACAUUUGCUUAAAAUGUGCAAUUGCAUCACUACCAGAUGGACCUGCGUUGUAUUAGCUAGUUGGUGAGGUAACGGCUCACCAAGGCAACGAUACAUAGCCGACCUGAGAGGGUGAUCGGCCACACUGGGACUGAGACAAGGCCCAGACUCCUACGGGAGGCAGCAGUAGGGAAACUUCGGCAAUGGACGGAAGUCUGAACGAGCAACGCCGCGGGAGUGAAGAAGGGUGUCGGAUCGUAAAGCUCUGUUGUAAGAGAAGAACGAGUGUGAGAGUGGAAAGUUCACACUGUGACGGUACCUGACCAGAAAGGGACGGCUAACUACGUG
rnacentral:rRNA from 1 species